UACGUAGGGGGCAAGCGUUGUCCGGAAUCAUUGGGCGUAAAGAGCGUGUAGGCGGCCCGAUAAGUCCGCUGUGAAAGUCCAGGGCUCAACCCUGGGAUGCCGGUGGAUACUGUCGGGCUCGAGUCCGGAAGAGGAGUGUGGAAUUCCUGGUGUAGUGGUGAAAUGCGCAGAUAUCAGGAGGAACACCGGUGGCGAAGGCGGGUCUCUGGGCAGUAACUGACGCUGAGGAGCGAAAGCGUGGGGAGCGAACAGG
rnacentral:rRNA from 1 species